CCUACGGGAGGCAGCAGUGGGGAAUUUUGAACAAUGGGCGCAAGCCUGAUCCAGCAAUGCCGCGUGCAGGAUGAAGGCCUUCGGGUCGUAAACUGCUUUUGUACGAAACGAAAAGCCUGGGGCUAAUAUCCCCGGGUCAUGACGGUACCGUAAGAAUAAGCACCGGCUAACUACGUGCCAGCAGCCGCGGUAAU
rnacentral:rRNA from 1 species